AGAUUGAACGCUGGCGGCAUGCCUUACACAUGCAAGUCGAACGGCAGCACGGGAGCAAUCCUGGUGGCGAGUGGCGAACGGGUGAGUAAUACAUCGGAACGUGCCCAAUCGUGGGGGAUAACGCAGCGAAAGCUGUGCUAAUACCGCAUAAGAUCUACGGAUGAAAGCAGGGGAUCGCAAGACCUUGCGCGAAUGGAGCGGCCGAUGGCAGAUUAGGUAGUUGGUGAGGUAAGGCUCACCGAAGCCUUCGAUCUGUAGCUGGUCUGAGAGGACGACCAGCCACACGUGGGACUGAGACACGGCCCAGACCUCCGUACGGAGGCAGCAGGUGGGAAUUUGGACAAGUGGACGAAGCUGAUCCAGCAUCGACGCGUGCGAG
rnacentral:rRNA from 1 species